ensembl:misc_RNA
UUUAUUUUGUUCCUCGACAUUAAGGUAACUGCAAACAUAUUGCUGAGAGAGAAGAAAAGGUAAGUCUCCAGCUUUAGUCUGCAAUAACUUAAAGAAACAGACCCAGG